rnacentral:lncRNA from 1 species
ACUCCAGAAAUUGAUUUCUUUGUUAUAACAUAUGUGAGUACUAGUCUUCCAUGUUUACAUCAAUCUUCUCACAUAUAACUAGUGUAGGGUGUGUAGUCAGAAAAUGUGUGUGAAAAUAGAGAGUAUCUAGUAAGGAAUUGAGGGAAUUCUAUAAGGCAUGUUACUACAUUCAAAAUGUUGUUUUAAUUGAUUAAAUGUGAGCUAGUGAAUGGUGACUAUGAUUAAGUAUGCUCGAGGGUAAGGAUUACUUAAAUCUAUGUAAGUGGUGAUCUUUGGCAUGUCAUGUUUCAUUGAAAAUCCCUGAGGCAAAUGUUGGAAGGUCUAGGUUAUGUUUUGUUUGUUUCAUUUUGUUUCUUUUGUUUUGCUCGAAGACUAGCAAAAGCUAAGUAUGGGGGAAUUUGAUAGGAGCAUAUUUAUGCAACUUAGUGAGCUUGUUUCUUGGCAUUUACUUAGUUUAAUUCUAGUUAUUUUAGUACUUU